rnacentral:lncRNA from 1 species
AACCUAAUUGUUUAUGGCUCGAUUGAUUAGAUCCUGAAAUAAUGGUGUAGAAUGUUAUUCACUAAUACAAAAAAAAAUGCAGCCAUGUAGGAACCAAUUCUUUUCUUCUUUGCAGGACUAGUUUGAUUUGACAAAAGAAAAAUGCUUAGCUAGCAGGACUAGUUUAAUUUGACAAAAGAAAAAAAACUUAGCUAUUCUUGUUUUUCAAACCUAGAUCUUUUUGGCAUAUCAGCUAAAGAUCUGUACUUACGAAAUCUUUCCUGUUACUCAGGCUUUGUUCUACUCUGCUUUACGAUGCUCACGAGAAAUGCUUGUUGUGAAUGAUGGGUCAAAAAACCUCAUCCGUGCCGUUAACAACAGGCUCAGUGCAUUGUCCUUUCAUAUAAGAGAAUACUACUGGGUUGACAUGAAGAAGAUAAAUGAGAUAUACAGAUACAAGACAGAAGAAUACUCCCAUGAUGCAACUAACAAAUUCAACAUUUACCCUGAGCAAAUCCCUUCCUGGCUUGUUGACUGGAUUCCUGAGAAAGGAGGUUACCUUAUUGGGAAUCUGCAGCCAGCUCACAUGGAUUUUAGGUUCUUCUCUCUUGGCAACCUUUGGGCCAUAGCAUCAUCUCUAACUACUCCAAAACAAGCUGAGGGAAUUCUUAGCCUUAUUGAAGAAAAGUGGGAUGAUCUUGUAGCAAAUAUGCCCCUCAAGAUAUGCUAUCCUGCAAUGGAAGAUGAUGAAUGGCGCAUUAUUACUGGCAGUGAUCCUAAGAACACGUAAGCAUCCUGUUGAAUCAAUCUUUGUCUUCCUGCAUCUCUUGGUUUGUGAUAUUUCCGUUUUGUGGGUCUCUAUUUAUUUUUUAAGAUUAAAGUUCUCUUUCUUAAACAUCGCAUCAGUUGUUGACAUCUAGCCAUUCCGUGCAUGUGCAGCCCAUGGUCAUAUCAUAAUGGUGGAUCUUGGCCAACCCUGUUGUGGCAGGUACGUAGAUACCACUGCAAUGUUUUCAAAUUUCUUGCUCCUUUUCAUGCUUGUAGAUCAUUGAUGACUAAUCCUUGUUUCUGUUUACAGUUCACAUUGGCGUGCAUAAAAAUGGGCAGACCAGAAUUGGCUCGGAAGGCCAUUGCUGUGGCUGAGGACAGACUCUCAGACGACAAGUGGCCGGAGUACUAUGAUACCCGGUCUGGAAGGUUCAUUGGGAAGCAAUCAAGAUCUUAUCAGACAUGGACUAUUGCUGGUUUUCUGACUUCAAAGAUGUUGCUGGAGAACCCAGAGCUGGCUUCUAUUCUGACCUGCGAUGAGGACCUUGAGCUGCUUGAAGGCUGUGCUUGUUGCCUGUCUAAGAAGAGGGCUAGGUGCUCACGCCGUGUGGCCAAGUCACAUGCUGGGUAAAACCCCAAAGCUCAUGCUGUUCCUUCUGCCGUGGAUGCACGAUGUAUACUACUGUUAGGAUUAACCCUGAGACGGAGAGACUCUUCACAUGUACAUUAGUAUAGGUUAUGUUAGAUAUCCAUCCAUUCAUUUCCUCAGUGGCCGCUCGAUCUUUUUUGCUGAGCUGCCACUGAUGGGAACUACCCUGGGUGACACCAGUGGUCGAAAGAAGAGAGCAAAACAUAUUCAGAGUUUGUGCUCUCAUGUACACAGAAAAAGGAAAUCUGUUCUUGUUAUUCGAUCCACAAGCUGCCCCCCUUUUUUUGGGGGGUGCUGUUGAAGCCCUAACUUUAUCUCUUGUCAGUUCUAAAAAUAGUGUGUUGUAAUGCUUGCAAACGGUGACACUGUAUUCCACUCGUUUCAUGAACUAGAGUGCUAUGGAUACACAUUUAUUCUAUUGGAUUAUGGUUGGAAUUGGCAUACGUUGUAUGUUUGGUUGGUAUAAUGUGUUGUUUGUGGUCGCCUGGUUGGCGAAUAUGACACUGCUGUUGUGACUGACGAGUGACGAAUCUGACUCAAAGCUGUUGCUAACUCGUCGAAUCCUCGUCAUGGCACGCCCCGCCAAACCUAGCUGCUGAAAAUAUAACCCAGAAGGAGGUAUCUGAGAGGUGAGAUAUCUUUUAAACAUUCAAGCCUACUCAAACUGAUAUCAUCAGUUCGUCACUACGUUUUCACUAACCAUAACCUGAAACUGAGUUGUGUUCUUUCACAACCAAAGCGGCAUAGGGCGCAAAGCAUUUCCCGAGGGAGACAGGAUCUUACGGCCACAAAAUAGCCGAAGCGAACUUGUAGAUGGAAUGAACAGCCGCACAUUCUUAAACUACAUCAUAAACUAGGUGUAGGCAUCGUACAAAUUCACUGUGUUUACAUAAAGCUCUGGAUAAGGUUCACAACUGCUAACUUAAAAUGAUCAUAACCAGAAUGUAUUAACAUGAAGUUUCAUCAACGGGGAGAUGAAUUUCCUUUUACUAAUUUAACUUAAACUAGUUAAAACUAGUGAGCUUCAAUCCCUGCAUUCUUAAGCCCAAAAUCCACCCUUCUGUUGCUUACCCUACAUCGAUAUAUAUAGCACAUACUAGGAAUUAGUAAAACAGGUCAUGGUUCAGGAUGAAAUUAGCUCAGAGACGUGUGGAUUAUGGAGUAAGAGUACGUAGAUGCUUACAAUGCAACAUUGUACGUAGAUGCUUACAAGACAACGUUAUCGGUCAUGACGUACUCCCUCCGUUUCAAAUUAUAGAUCAUUUUAAUUUUUCUAGGUUCAUAAAUAUUAUUAUAAAUCUAGAUAUAGUGUAUGUCUAAAUGCAUAAUAAUAUGCACGAACCUAGAAAAGUCAAAACGACCUACAAUUUGGAACGAAGGGAGUACUAAUGAAGAUUUCAAGAUAAAAAUUGUAGCUGAAGCUUUCUAUAUUUACACAUCUACACUGCUAGGAUGUUACCCAAUUAUAAAUUUGAUUUCCACAAUUUCCCAGAUCAAACAUGCACAGCAUCAAAAUCACUGAAACAGAAUAAGAAGAAUGUAAAAUGGAAUCACCCUUGGUAAAAAGCAAUUAACAAAUUUUAACAAGAAAUCAGAAUGCAGAUGCUCGAUGACCCUGACGUGGUUACUAACAAGUGGGUCUGCUUGCGAAGCAGUUCCAGUGUGACCACACGCCCGUUAUGCAAAUGCUAGCACUUUUAAACAUAAAGAUUAAACAACGACAUAAUAGUUCCAUUAUUAGCUGCUUCGUUAAUUUUUAUCCAUCAAGGACAUGUUUGGUUCCUCUUGCUAAACUUUAGUUGCUAAAAGUUGCUAAACUUUAGCAAAAACUAUUUGGAUACUCUUGCUAAAAGGCAUUUAAUGAGCUGUAAAAAGAUCUAUCUACCCUUAUUAAAAGUGCGCAGGAGGGGGGAGACAAGCAAUAAAUGAGGGGUAUAGGUUGUCCAGCCCACCUUUUAGCAAGUUUUAGCAACCAAAAACUUGCUAAAGUGCUAAACUUUAGCAACUCAACUUUAGCAAGUUUUAGCAAAGGUGUUUGGCAGUUUAAAGUUUAGCAAGGUGGAACCAAAUACCCCCUAACUCUACGGAUUUCACUGCAAGGUCCGGAGAGAAACAAAGAGGCAAAGAUGGAAGACAAGGUGAAUCCAACCCAAAAGUUUGAGCAGUGCAUGCAUAGUUAGUGCACAUGACUUUGUAGUUUUUCGAGGUAGAAUCGAAGUUUAUCAAAAUCUAAAAUGAGUGGGGCAUAUGCCCCACUAGAAUCCUCUUUGGGUCGGUUCCUGGUUGAAGAUAGGAGAGUAAAUUCUCCAUUAGAGUUGAACAUGCAAGUGUCACUACCCACCUACGAUAAUGGAUCGACACGAGGAGAUGUGCAUGACACAUGAAGCUUCGGCUGGACCUAUUGUUCUCAGACAAUAAAUGUGGAAUGAGUGAAUAGUGAGAGCUCAUAUCACCCAUUUGUAGCGUCUUAGUUAGGGAUGAAAAUGGAUUGGAUACAUAUGAAUGUAUAUGGAUUGGAUUCAGACACGGAUAAUGUUAGAUGUGUCUGAUAUAGAUACGAACGAAUAGUUAUGGUUAAUAGGUACUAACUGAAUGAGUUACACAUAUAUUUUCUCGAAUAUUGAGUAAAAGCAACAAAUACAUAUGAUUAUCCGUUGCUUCACAGUUUGCAUUUUUAUAUUAAUUCAUUGAAAGAAAUUAUAACUCAAACUUCUCCCAAAUUUAAAGACAAAAGUUGGAAUAACUUAAGCAUUUACAUUUUUAUGGUUUAUUGAAAAAGUCCAUUUUACUAUCCUCACAAGUUCACUUUAUCCGGUUAAUCCAUGAACAAAAUUAAGGCUCAUUUCACUCCCUCCAAACUAUUUGAGUUGGUCCAAUCUACCCUCUAGUGAGAUUUAUCUAUUUUGUUUCUAUAUAUCUUGUUUUUCAAGGAGACUUAUAAUUAACAUGGUACCCUAUGUUAGAAAAAUACAUUAUGAAUUUUUCACAAUUACUUUUCAUGCAAUUGUAUCUGUAUGAUUAACUUUACCAUUUGUCGUUGUCAAGAUUAGCGGAUCAAGACUAUAGCUAGUAAAUUUCUUUUAUGCGCGUAAGGCUUCGGAUGGUGGCGUGAGAGGACACGAGGUUAGACUGGUUCGGGCAAGGAAAGCCCUACGUCCAGUAUGAGGAGCUGCUUGUGUUACCCACGCAAGGUUUGUAGUAGGGGGUACAAACGGGCGAGAGAGGGAGCCGAUCCCAAGUCUCUUGGGUGUGCACUGAUGCUCAUGAGGUGAGUGUGUGGGUUCUGUUCACUUGAGACCCCCCCGAUCUCAGGGCCCCUGGUUCUCUUUUUAUAGCACAAGGAGGGCUCAGGGUUACAGGUGAGCCGGGUGUUUGGAGAAGUAAAAGAGAUAAGAUAAGUAAAAUAGAAUACAAGGAGAAGGACCAAGUCCCCGGGUCAUCGCCUUCUGCCACGGCCUUUGUCCCCUGUCAGCGUGGCCAUCGGAGGAGGGCGGCUGUCGCCGGAUCCGGUCGACGAUCCUCCGGACGACCGUCGCCGCUGAGCAUGAUGAUGGUGUUCGGCCGUGGCAACUAUGCAUGUUGGGGGAGACGACUGACCCCUGUUGUCCUGCUUACGGCCCGUGGAACACGGACGUCGCGUCCCUAUCACCGGAUAGGCCUAGCACGAGAACGAGCGGCGCUCCCUUCUGUGCCGGGCGGCGCAUGCAAUGAGUGCCCUAUGGCAAAUCAGGGGGAGCCGCGGCCACUGUAGCCUGUGCGGUCGUGGCUACAGUGUUCCGUCCGGGUACUUGUGGCGGGUCACGUUGAGGGGCGCGGGCGCCUUUCUGCGUACCAGAGCCGCGACGCAUUUAUGGCAAGAUCGGUAGGGUGCCCAUGAGAUCCGCGCCCUUGUCUGCCGGUCUGCGCCUAUCCUUGUCUUGUGGGCCCGGAUGAGUCCGACCCCCUACGCCCGGGGUUGGGCGAGGCGGAGCCUUGCGGCGAGGGGUCGGGCGCACCCGACCCUGGGACCAUGGGUCAGGCGAGGCGGAGUUUUGCCAGCGAGGGGUCAGGCGUGUCCGACCCCGGGGCCCUGGGUUGGGCAAGACGGAGUGGGAUGCUCCCUGCCCAUGCCGGGUCGGCAGUGGUCGUCAUUACCGCAGGUGGGCCUGGGCCUUCAUGAUUGUUGUUUUAAGGGGCAUAAGGAGGUCGUUAAUAUUUCCCCCCAAUAGUAGCCCCCAAGCCUGUGGUGGAGUGAGUAUGCUCCUCCAAAGGCUGCUUUCGUCGUUCGUCGGGGAUCUCUACUCGCUCUGCAAGCUGCAGUUGAUCAGGGAUAGGGAGUGUUGUGCGUUCGGCUUGGCCGGGGAGUUUGAUCAGGCGAGGUGUCCUGUGGAUGACUUGGCGCGGGGGGAAUCCUUAUUGUUCUGUAGGGCACCCCCGCCUUGAGACCUCAAAUCGCGACCACACGCGUGGUCAUCGGUUGCGAUGCUAGCCCCCGAGCCCCCGCGCGUUGCGGGAGACCGGUCGGGAGGCUAGAUCGACUUUUGAUCGUUACCCCUCAAGCGUCCGUUCGUUUGAGACGGAGGGGGUGAGCCGUGCCACGCUAUCCUCGCCGGACGAACCGUGGUGCUCAUUGAGCUACGAACGGGUCGAUUCGAGUGGGGUCCCAGUCCCCGUUCGGGGGGGUCCGGCUCGGGCCAAGCUGGUGGUGUACCCUAGAUUCCGGUCGGCUAGUUCAUAUAGUUCCCGAGUCCGUUCGAUCGGAUCCGGGGGCUCGUUGCCUUUCUUCGGGGAAAAACCAUGAACUUUGAUGCCGGUCCGGACUCGAACGUGAGGUCGGGAUGCCCUAGGAUGUCGCGUGCCCGGGUGAUGGCCGCUAGCGGACCCGUCCCUUCUCACCCCUCGCUCGGGGAUAUCCUAGGACGACUGUUGAACCCGUAGUGGGCCAGCCUUCGAACCCCUGGACCGUAAUGGGCUGUAGGGGCGUUUUCAGCCCCGUAUCCCUUUUUUACCUAUUGGUGGGCCUUGGGCCAAACGUGGAGGAGGUUGUGCGCAUGCGUUCUCCAGGAGGCAUAGUGGCGGAAGGUGCCGGCUCGCGAAACGAGGGAGGGGGAGAUGUUUUCCUGCAGCAGAUCGUGCGCACGGAUUCCGAAAAAGGCGGGCGUGACGGGGUAUACCUGGCAUUGCAUUAACUGCGACAAGACCGUCCCUUUCACUUCCCACGCGCCCGCCUAUAAGAUGGGGGGGUCUGCCUCACCGGUUCCGCCCGCACCUGCUCUCAAACCUUUUCACCUUCUCGCGCGCCAUUUGCCUUCUUGUGCGCCAUUCGCCUUCCUCCGCCUAGCGCAGUAGCUUCUCUCACCCUUCGCCAUCGAACCUUUCUCCCCUUAGCGAUGGAGUCCUGGACACGCUCGAGCUUCGGUACCUCACGCGCCGACGACCUCAUGAGGAAAGGCCUCCUCUGCGAGAGGACCGAGAGGGACGAAUGGUGGUUCCCCGAGAGGGAAGAUGUGCCGAGUCCACCUGGCGGCUACGUCGUUUCGUUCGCGCACUUCCACGAGAGGGGGUUCACGACCCCGCUGAGCUGCUUCUUCCAUGGGUUGCUGCACUACUACGGGCUCGAGCUGCAACAUCUCAAUCCCAAUGGGAUCCAACACAUCACGGUGUUCGUCGUGCUAUGCGAGGAGUCCUGGGUAUCGAGCCCAACUUCUCGCUCGGGAAGUACUUCUUCGCGGUCAGCUUGUACUAGAGGACCGAUAGGGUGCACCGCCAUCCACCUCCGCAAGAACCGCACCAAGGAAUAUAUGGCGAUGAAGACCGCGGCGUCCCACAAGGGGUGGCACCAGCAGUGGUUCUACGUGAAGAACUACUCCGAUUCCCCUUGCCGGCGUUCACCAGCCGCGUCAUCGAAGCGGCGCCGGAGCUGUGGUCGUACGGUCCGGUCGAGAAGGAGAAGAAGCGGAUCACCGGUCUGCUUCAGGCCAUCAAGCGCCUAAAGGAAAAAGGUCUAACUGGGGCUGGAGUCAUUGGGGCAUACCAUGCUCGGAGGGUGGUGCCGCUGAUGCUCCGGGUUUGCUUGCUUGCCGACAUGGUUCCCAGUGCGCCGACCCAGGGCACCAUCCUUGCGACAGGCGUGCUUGCUGACACCGAGAUCCGGCAGCGAGUUUCGGAGGUGUUGGACGACAAGGACACCGAUUACCCGGUGCCCGGUCACCCUCCGAUGCGCCCGGACGAGAAUUUCGUCGAACUGGUGAGGACUUCACGCUUUUGUCCUUCUCUCCUGCAUUUCUUGGUUCGUCGCUCUGAUGCUGAGUUCUCGUGUCUGCAGGGCCACAUGACCCGGGUCGUGGACUCGCGCCCGCCGGUGCUGGAGGACACAGAGCAGCGGCAGCAGAACCUCCUCCUCGUCGAGAAGCAGAAGAGGCGUAAGGACAAAGAGACGGCGUGGAAGAAGAAGAACGCCGCCAAGGAGCUCCAACGGCGGCGGUGGGACAAGGUCGUGUCGGAUGACGACGACGACGACGAUGAGGAUGAGGAGGAGGAAGAUGAGGAGGAGGAAGAGGAGGACGGUGAGGGGUCAGCGCGGGGUGCACCUCGGGAGUCGACGGAGCCGACCCCCGACCCUCUGCCUGCGUCACGUGAGCAGAGGAGGAGCGGCAAGCGGCCGCUGCCGGAUGCCCCGGGGUCGACGUCGAGCUCGGAGGCGAAACACGCCCGUCGUCCUCGCGCUGACGGGGUGUAAGUGGAAAUUCCUCGCGCACCUUGUUCCUUUCCCGGCAUCGAGCCGUUUUUGAUGAUGUUGUUGUUGUUUCACAGCGCCUCCCCUUGGGACUUCGUCCCACCGCUGGCACCGAAGAAGGCGCUACGGGUGUCGUCCACCUCCGCGGAGCGAGCCGCGACCCCGCUGGCGGCAAGCGGCGGCAUCACCGGGGAGACCACGGGGCCUACGGCGGAGGCGGCCUCUGCGGCGGCGACCGGAGGAAGGGUGUCGCAGUCGGGCACGGGGUAGGGUCUGAUCCCUGCUCCACCUUCUGCCUCCAUGGUCGACCCCGUGGGACAAGGUGUUGUCCCUGGGGUUCCUCCGGCUGGCGAGGUGAUAGACCUCAACGACGGUGCGGAGGAAGUGCCUGCGGGGGAGGCGUCGGCCGCGGAGGGGGCUCCGACGGUGACGGCGGAGAUGGCGGCGGCGGAGAUGGGGGCAGUUGCCCCAGUAGCCGUGACGGAGACGGCGGCGGCGGCGGAGGAGAGAAAGUCCGCCCCCGCGGCCGUGACGGGGACAACGGCGGCGGUGGAGGUGGGGACACCUGCCCCAGGGGCCGCGAUGGAGACAGCGGCGGCUGCGGAGGCGGGGACGCCUACCCUGGUGGCCGCGAUGGAGGUGGGGACACCUGCCCCAGCAGCCGCGAUGGAGGCGCCGGCGGCGGCGGGAACUGGAACGCUCGCUCCGGCAGCCGUGAUGGAGACGGUGGCGGCGGUGGAGAGAGCAGGACGCGCGUCGGCGUCGAUGACGGCCGUUGCGACUUCGACAGAGACAGCGGCGCAUGUGCCAGGGUCGUCGAUGAGGCUGGCGGCAUCGGGGGCGGUGGCGCCUGCCCCGGCGGUGGCGUCGGGGAUGGCGGCGCUAGGGUCGGCCAGAGCGGCUUCAACCCUUGUCCCGGUUAAUCCCGUCCCCAAGGCGUGGGGUGGGCCUACCCUACGCUGGAGGUCCCGUGAGGACCCUCAGAGGCCCCUCUUCAUGCUGGAUGACGCCGAGGAGUGGGGUAAGUGGAAGGUGGUGUAGGGUGGGCUUGGAAAUGGGGGAGCUAGAUGGCGUCGUCGUCCCCGGUGGCCAGGAACGGUGUUCUCCCCGGUGGUUAUUUUCCUCUCAUUUCUUCGUUGCUGAGCAUAAAUUGCUUUGUAGGCCCUCUAGGAAUGCAGCCGGGGGAAGUCUGAUUUCCUCCGGCUCGAGCGGGGGCUCUGGGAUCGCUUCUCCAUGGAGAGGCAGUGGACUGGGGAGCUGACCGCGUAGCUUGCCGCCGCUCAGCAGGUCAUCACCGACCUCCGCAGGCGCAAGAGGGCGCGCGGGAGGACGUGUGGCGGGCGGAGGAUAAGUUCCAGGUCAUCAUCGAGAAGGCUCACCUCGAUCUCGAGGAGUUCCAGGCCGCUGUCGAGAAGGCCUGCCAUGAUGUUGAGGAGCUCGCACGGCUGAAGGGAGACCAUGAAGCCCUUCAGAAAAUCGUCGAGCGUAUCCGGCGUGAGUGGCAGAAGGCUUGGCAGAAGCGGGACUCCGAGGCGAUCCGGAAGGCUGAGGCCGAGAAGGUGGUGCGGACCUUGGGGCGGAGAUCAGUCAGCUCCAUGUGCAAGUGCAGGGGCUUCAAACCGCCGUGACCCAGGGGCUCGACCGGGAGCGUCAGCUGAAGGCUCAAUCUGAGUAUAAGGCUCUUCUCGUUCCUUUGUUUUUGCGGUGUUGCGGUGGUUUCUAACUUUGCAGACUUUUCUGGACGGGCCUCAUGGACGACCUCGCCCGGCUGAGGGAGAUCCUUGAUGCGGAGCGCUCUGAGCACGGCAACCUGCGGGACGUAGUCCGCGUUGUCUGCGAUGGCCUCGGCGUGGUCCAGGGGGAGGGGACGAGCUCAUUGGCGGCUCGUGUCCCUGGGGCGUACCGGUGGGCCUGUGAGAUCGCUCGGGAGGUGCUCCACGUCGGCGUGAGGCAGGCCUUUGGCGUCUUCGACUCCUAAUAUUCCGGCAUCAACUUCGCCGGGAUGAGCGGGGGGUACGCCUUCGGCUACUCCAAGGCCGAGCUGGACGAGAUUGACGCGUCGGUGCUCAACCCAGCGGAGGCCUUGGAGAAGCUUCUGGAGGAUGAGGCCGUCUCGCCGGAGGACCCGGGGACGAGUUAGCUGUAUCGGGCUUAGAUGCCCUAGAAUAUGUAAAUAUGUUAGUUAACUUUGAACUUGCUUUCAUGAUGGCCGCAGAGGCCUUUCCUAUAAUUUGUCAAAUUUUUUUUUCGAUCCUCUUUCUAUUUUUUGGGUUUGGAAAGUUUAGAGUGCGGGUCGGGCGCGUUAGUAAGCGCUGAUGAGCGAAGGCACCGUAGCUGCUGGGACGUAGAUUUUUCCGCAGUCCGAUCUGUCUUGCUUGAGCGUCGUUCAUGCACUCUUUCCCUUUUCACGUCCAAACAUUUUGAGAAGAGAGUUGGUUCGGAGAAAUGGUGUUUUGAGAAGACGUCAAGUGACUUGGGCCGGAGCCCCUGAUAGCCCCCAAGGGAUAUGCGACCUUGGGGCAGAGCCAGGGUCAGAUAUUCCUAAGCCUAGGACGGAAUCGAACAAAAUCGAUUCAAAACUACCCCUUUUCGUGAAUUAAACGGUUACAGAAGUAUGUAUGUACAAACUUGGAAACAAUAACUAAGGGUAGAAGCAUCUUAGCUGCUCUAUAUUCCAAGCGUUGGUGAAGAUCUGCCCAUCGGGGGUCGCUAGCUUGUACGUGCCUGGCCGCAGUACUUGUGCGACGAUGAAGGGAUCUUCCCAUAGAGGGGUCAGCUUGUGCUGACCUCUGUUGUCCUAGAUGAGGCAAAGCACCAGGUCGCCGAUGUUGAAGGCUCGGCCUCGUACCUUGCAGCUGUGGUAUCGUCGUAAGGCCUGCUGGUACUUGGCCGAGUGCAGCAGGUCCACAUCGCGUGCUUUGUCGAGUUGGUCUUGCGCAUCCUCGAGCGAUGCUUGGUUCCCUUGUUCGUCGUAUGCCUUGACCCUCGGCGACCCGUACUCUAGGUCAGUGGGGAGGAUUGCCUCGGACCCGUAGACCAUGAAGAACGGGGUGAAGCCAGUCGUCCUACUGGGAGUCGUCCUCAAACUCCAUAGGACUGCGGGGAGCUCCGCGACCUGCCGGGCGUCGAACUUUUUGAGGCGGUCGAAGAUCCAUGACUUGAGACCUUGGAGUAUCAUGCUGUUGUCCCGCUCGACCUGCCCAUUUGUGCGGGUGUGUGCCAUGGCCGACCAGUCCACUUGGAUGUGGUGGUCAUCGCAGAACUUGAGGAACUUCUUCCCAGUGAACUGCGUGCCGUUGUCCGUGAUGAUGGAGUUGGGGACUCCAAAGCGAUGGGUGAUGUCGGUGAAGAAUUGCUUUGCCUGCUUGGAUUUGAUCUGCGUGACGGGCCGCGCCUCGAUCCACUUUGAGAACUUGUCGACGGCGACAAGUAAGUGGGUGAAGCUCCCGGGUGCCUUUUUGAAGGGUCCGACAAGGUCCAGUCCCUGGACCGCAAAUGGCCACGUGAUGGGGAUGGUCUGGAGCGCCUGUGCGGGCAGAUGGGAUCGGCGCGCAAAGAAUUGGCACCCCUCGCAGGUGCGCACCACGUGGGUGGCGUCGGCAACUGCCGUCGGCCAGUAGAAGCCUUGUCGGAAGGCGCUACCGACGAGGGUUCUUGGCGCAGCGUGGUGACUGCAGGCCCCAGCGUGGAUGUCCUGUAUCAACACCUUUCGCUGCUCAAUUGGGAUGCAGGGCUGAAGGAUGCCGGUGUGGCUCCGCUUGUAUAGCUCCUGGUCGAUGAUGACGAAGGAUUUGGCACGACGUGCGAUCCUGCGUGCCUCCGUCUUGUUCGUUGGGAGUGUCUCGCGGAUGAGGUAGUCGAGGUACGGGGCUCUCCAGUUAGGCGGGGGGUCGGGCCCCUCUGUUGGGUUUGCGUCGAUCUCCAUGAGUUCGGGGUCGGAGGGAUCGGCCUCCGGGUCCAGGACAGAUGGAGAGUCACCAACCUUUCCAGGGUCGGCGUCCGAGCCUAGGACAGGUGGCGUGUUGCCGACUUCUCCCAGGUCGGCGCCCGAGUUUGGGGUAGGUGGCGCGUCGCCGACCCUUCCCGGCUCCUUGUAACGGAUCGAGGGCUUGUUUUGGUCGCUGACGAAGACGCCAUUGGGGACGGGCUUUCGGCCGAAUGCCGCCUUUGCCAGUUUGUUAGCUGCCUCGUUGAAACACCUUGCGACGUGGUUGAGCUCUAGUCCAUCGAACUUGUCUUCGAGCUUGCAGACUUUGUUUUAGUACACCGCCAGCUUGGGGUCGUGGCAGCUCCAUUCCUUCAUGACUUGUUCGACGACUAGUUUAGAGUCACCUCGGAUGUCCAGCCGCCGGAUGCCCAGCUCGAUGGUGAUGCGAAGCCCGUUGAGGAGAGCCUCGUACUCAGCGACAUUGUUAGAUGCAUGAAAAUGGAGGCGGAUCAUGUACCUCAUGCGCACGCCGAGAGGAGAGACGAAGACCAGACCCGCUCCGGCGCGAGCCUUCAUCAAUGACCCAUCGAAGUACAUCGUCCAGUACUCUUGCUUCUUCGGCUCCGAUUGCGUCUGGAUCUCCGUUCACUCCGCAAAAAAGUCGGUGAGCACUUGGGACUUGAUGGCUGUACGGGGGGCGUAGGUGAUGCCCUGGUCCAUGAGCUCGAGUGCCCACUUCGCGAUCCGUCCCGUGGCGUCCUUAUUCUGGAUCACUUCGCUGAGGGGGAACGACGAAACGACCGUCACCGGGUGGGAAGUAAAGUAGUGGCGCAACUUCCUAUCCGUGAUGAGGAUGGUGUAGAUGAGAUUCUAGAUCUGCGGGUAGCGAGCCUUGGACUCGGACAAGACCUUGCUGACGAAGUAUACCGGACGCUGCACCUUGAGGGCGUGUCCCUCCUCUUCUCGCUCCACUACCAGAGCCGCACUAACCACCUAGGUGGUCGCCGUGAUGUAGAGUAGGAGUGGCUCCCCAUCGGUUGGCGGGACCAGGAUCGGGGCCUUCGUCAGGAGGUUCUUGAGCCGAUCAAGUGCCUCCUAGGCCUCGGUGGUCCACACAAAGUGGUCGGUCUUCUUCAGGAGUCGGUAGAGAGGGAGCCCCCGUUCGUCGAGGCGCGAGAUGAAGCGGCUCAGGGCUGCCAGGUAUCCCGUGACGCGCUGAACUCCCUUUAUGUUUCGGAUCGGCCCCAUGUCGCUGAUGGCUGCUAUUUUCUCCGGAUUGGCUUCGAUGCCACGCACGGAGACGAUGAAACCCAGCAGCAUGCCCCUCGGAACCCCAAAAAUGCACUUUUCAGGGUUGAGCUUGAUGCGCUUGUCUCUCAGCCUUUCGAAGGCUAGUUCGAGGUCGGGGAUGAGUUGGUCGCCGUUCUUGGACUUGACUACGAUGUCAUCUACGUAGGCCUCAACGGUUCGCCCGAUGAGGUCCCCGAAACACAUAAGCAUGCAUUGCUGGAACGUAGCCCUCGCGUUUUUUAGGCCGAAUGGCAUCUUAACGUAGCAAUAGCGGCCGAAGGGGGUGAUGAAAGAGGUCGCGAGCUGGUCGGACUCUUUCAUCGCGAUUUGAUGGUAGCCGGAAUACGCGUCAAGGAAGCUAAGGGUUUCGCACCCUGCGGUUGAGUCGACUAUCUGAUCUAUACGUGGCAAAGGAAAUGGAUCCUUUGGACACGCCUUUUUGAGACCGGUAUAAUCAACACACAUCCUCCAUUUUCCAUUCUUUUUUCGUACAAGAAUAGGAUUAGCUAGCCACUUAGGGUGGUACACACUUCCUUGAUGAAUCCGGCCGCCAAAAGCUUCUGGAGCUCCUCGCCGAUGGCCUUGCGCCUCUCCUCGUCAAAGCGUCGGAAGCCUUGCUUCACUGGUUUGGAGCUGGCCUUGAUGUUUAAGGAGUGCUUGGCGACUUCCCGCGGGAUGCCGGGCAUGUCCGAGGAUUUCCACGUGUAGCCGGUGUAGCGGGUUCGGCCGCGUAGACCUCGCGGCGCUCCAACUUCCGAUGACGCCUGGAGUCGUAAGCCGCCGGUCUUCCUUCCCUUCGCCGUCCUUCUUCUUCUCCUCGGGCUUCCGCCUCCGGUCGCCCUUCACUGGGUUGCCUACAAAAUACCUCUUCAUGAGGUUGCAAUCCUUGUAGGUGUGUUUAGUGGGGAAUUCGUGGUUCAGGCACGGUCCCUUGAGCAGCUUGUCGAAGAAGCCGGGGGUGCCCUCUGGGGGCGGCUGUCCCCGCUUGCGCUCAGCAACAGCCACAAGGGGGGCCUAGCGCUGUUGCUUGUUCUUCUUCUUUUGCUGGCGGUUGGAGGUGCCCUCGUUGGCGUCCACCUCCCACUUCGCCUUGCCCUUGGAACGAUCGAAGAUCGCCCCGAUGGCCUCUUCGCCCGAGGUGAAGCUGGUGGCGAUGUUGAGGAGCUCCUUCAUGGUCCGCGGGCCCCUGCAUCCCAGCUCGUGGAGCAGGGGUCGGCAAGAGGUUCCUGCCAGGAAUGCUCCGAUGAUGUCGGCGUCCGCGACAUUGGAGAGCUCGGUGCGCUUCCUGGAGAAAUGUUGGAUGUAGUCCUGGAGGGACUCGUCCGCCCCUGGCGGCGGCUCCUGAGAUCCCAGGAGUUUCCAGGGCACAUGUACGUCCCCUGGAAGUUUCCCACGAAGAUCUCCUUCAUGUUGUUCCAGUUAUGGAUCCGACCCGAGGGGAUGUGUUCCAGCCAGGCUCGCGCCGAGUCGGCCAGAAACAGAGGGAGAUUGUGAAUGAUGAACAGGUCAUCAUCCGCCCCACCGGCCUGACAUGCAAGCAUGUAGUCGCUGAGCCAAAGCCCGGGGUUCAUCUCCCCGGAGUACUUGGCCACGUUUGUGGACUGCCUAAAGCGCACUGGGAACAGCGUGUUCAGGAUGCGUGCGGAGAAGGUCUUGGGCCCCGCUGGGUCGGGGCUCGGGCUACGAUCUUCUUCGCUGUCGUAGCGGCCACCACGGUGGAUGUGAUAGCCGCGGUCCACUCCAUCUUCUUUGUCCGCGCGGGAGCAUCUCCGCACGUCCAAAGUGUCACGGGCGUCGCGAACGGGACCAACGUGCCAGUGGACAGACUAAGCUCCGCCUCCUACGGGCGGCGGCGUCCGUCACGCGGGCGCGGCUCGGUUCCCGGGGGGAGGCUGGUAGACAGACACCCCACACCUCUCGGGAGGUGCAGUGGGCGCUGCCCUGCUGGCGUUGUGCCCGCGUCGUCGGGACGCGGUGCUCUCCACCUGCUGGACGGUGGCGCACUCGAGUAGGUUGCGCACCUCUUGGUGCGCCUGGUGCUCCUCGGGCGUCACCGGCUCGGGGAGGCAUCAGAGCAGGGCUACCGCUGCGGCAAUGUUCUGGCUGGCGUGGGCGAAAAGUUGAGGGCGAUCUUCGUCCGUGCAAAUGCGCCGUUGGACGUCGCGCGCCCGUUGUCAUGCCCCGUCUUCGUUGCGGGGGCGCUCGACCUCCUGGUGGGGCGCCGCGCGCGCCUUCGGCAGUCAUGGCCAUAUCGGGACCCUGGCAAGGGCCCCAGUCAUGGCUGCAGCGCGCGGCGGGGGAGGGCGCUGCCUCCCUGCGGUGCCGUCGUUGUUGGACCCCUCGGAGUGCACGUCGGCCAUGAAGCACUCGCGCGAGGGGUGGUGACUCCCGUUGUCGGAGCCGGCAUCGGAGGUUGUCCUCGCCAUGCCCAUGAGCUCGUUGCUCGUGGGUGGCACGGUCAUGGACCGCGCUAGGAGGUGACCGUGGGUCGCCGUGGCAUUGCGUAGCCCGAAGGACCACUCCUCCGAUGGGGCCCCGUGGCGCGCACCCGGCCGCUCACCACUAUCCCGGAGGCGGAGCCAAAGAUGACGGGGCGAGCGGGCAGGACAAGGAGAGGGAUCAGCUCGAUUCCCUCCCCCGUGGCGAGGAAAUCCAAGCUCCCGAAGUGGAUAAGGGAGCCCGGAGCGAAGAUGGCAUCGUGGCUGGCCAUCUGAAGCCGGUGAUGUACGCGCAAAGGUCCCCUACCUGGUGCGCCAACUGUCGUUGUCAAGAUUAGCGGAUCAAGACUACGGCUAGUAAAUUUGUUUUAUGCGCGUAAGGCUUCGGAUGGUGGCGUGAGAGGACACAUGGUUAGACUGGUUCAGGCAAGGAAAGCCCUACGUCCAGUAUGAGGAGCUGCUCGUGUUACCCACGCAAGGUUUGUAGUAGGGGUUACAAACGGGUGAGAGAGGGAGCCGGUCCCAAGUCUCUUGGGUGUGCACUGAUGCUCGUGAGGUGAGUGUGUGGGUUCUGUUCGCUUGAGACCCCCCGGUCUCGGGGCACCUGGUUCUCCUUUUAUAGUGCAAGGAGGGCUCAGGGUUACAAGUGAGCCGGGUGUCUGGAGAAGUAAAAGAGAUAAGCUAAGUAAAAUGGAAUACAAGGAGAAGGACCAAGUCGCUGGGUCGCCGCCUUCUGCCCCAGCCUUUGUCUCCUGUCAGCGUGGCCAUCGAAGGAGGAUGGCUGUCGCCGGAUCCUGUCGACGAUCCUUCGGACGACCGUUGCCACCGAGCAUGAUGAUGGUGUUCGGUCGAGGCAACUAUGCAUGUUGGGGGAGACGGCUGACCCCUGUUGUCCUGCUUACGGCCUGUGGAACACGGACGUCGCGUCCCUGUCGCCGGAUAGGCCGAGCACGAGAACGGGCGGCGCUCCCUCCUGUGCUGGGCAGCGCAUGCAAUGAGUGCCCUAUGGCGAAUCAGGGGGAGCCGCGGCACUAUAGCCUGUGCGGUCGUGGCUACAGUGUUCCACCCGGGUACUUGUGGCGGGUCACGUCGAGGGGCGCGGGCGCCUUUCUGCGCGCCAGAGCCACGACGCAUUUAUGGCAAGAUCGGUGGGGGGCCCACGAGAUCCGCGCCCUCGUCUGCCGGUCUGCGCCCGAGGCGGACCCUUGUAUUGUGGGCCCGGACGAGUCCGACCCCCUACGCCUGGGGUCGGGCGAGGCGGAGCCUUGCGGCGAGGGUCGGGCGCACCCGACCCUGGGACCGUGGGUCGGGCGAGGCGGAGUUUUGCCAGCAAGGGGUCGGGUGUGUCCGACCUCAGGGCCCUGGGUCAGGCGAGACGGAGUGGGAUGCUCCCUGCCCAUGCCGAGUUGGCAGUGGUCGUCAUUACCGCAGGUGGGCCUGGGCCUUCAUUAUUGUUGUUUUAAGGGGCAUAUGGAGGUUGUUAAUAUUUCCCCCCAACACCAUUUAAAUGUUCUUAACCUAUGAAAAUAACUAUGAAAAAUUCUUGAUGUAUUUUUCCAACAUAAGGUAUCAUGUUCUCUAUCCACACAAAAUUUGUACUUAAAACUUAACUUUUACAUGAAGAAAUAAAAAAAAUACAGAUUUUAUUAGAGGGUACAUUGGACCAACCAAAAUGGUUCAGGGGAACCAAUCCUAAAUUUUAUUCAAGGGGUUAGAUGAACAAAGUUAUCUAUUUAGUGUUUCUUCCCUAAAAUUAUCAAAUUAGGAGGGUGGCCUCAUGCAACAUUUAGAUAGGAUAUUUGCAACACAUGUUUGAACCAAUAGAACCAAACUAGAUCCAUAUUUAUAAUAACCAAAGAAAAAUAGAUCAAUCGGCUAAAGUCAUACACUUGUCUACUUUAGAUGUAACAUAGAACCAUUUUUGCAACAAAUUUGAUUAGAGUAUUAGAUUUCAAUGCUACAUCCAAAAACUACCUCACAAAAAUAAUAUACUUGCAACAUCAGAAAGUAAUGUGAGAAACAUGAAAAGUUAUCAUCCAAAAAUUGCAACAUCCAAAAAUAUUUUUACCCUAAAAAUGUACUAUGGCGAACUCUAACCGUAGCAAGCUGUAAUUACCUCGUAGAGGUCUCUGUCUCAUAGGAUCAAUGAGUUGUGGAAGCACCAAGUCGACUAAAGGUCUGUCCAUCUUACGGUGCAUCCACAGCUUCCCCUUUUGUCCCAUUUCAGAAUGGUAGCUUCACCAAGUCGACUAAUUGUAGCUUCCAAUGGUGCAUCCACGGCUUUGAUCAGUAGAUCCAGCAGCACCAGAAAGUAGCACCUCUUUUGUCCCAUUUCCGGAUCUACCACUGGAAGGUACAUGAUAAUGGUUAAGAUGGUAACGUUCUCUACUCAUGCUAAUUUGGUUGGCAUGGCAUUGGCAACAUUCUCACCCUACUAUUCUCUACCUAUUUCCAAAGAGAGGACCGUUUUCUUCCAUCCUUUGACUUUUGGUCAGUCAUGUGUCAUUGACAGGUGGGUCCGGUGUUACUUCCCCUAAUUCUAAUAAUUCCAACGGUAAAAUAACAGCCAAUCCAGCUUUGCAUCUACUCCAGAUCAUCUUUGACAAAUCGACAAAUCCUAAUGACCCAAGAAAAUUGGGGAAACCACAUUUGCGGUCAAUAUAUAGAUGGUCUGCUGCCGUGCAGCUCCGCUCUCGACAACAACGAGCGAGAACUGGCCAAUUGAGAUGCGCACGCACAACAAAGAUAAAGAAAACAUCAAGAAAACGACUUGUCUCGCAAAGAAGUGACAGGGAGGUAUUGCUAUUGCCCGUGCCAUCUUGAAGAAUACUGCUAUCUUGCUACUGGCUGAAGCUACAAGUGCAGUAGACAUCCUAUACACCCACAGUGUUAGGCGACAUGAGAGGCGACUCGGGUGGCGACUCUAACGGCAGCUCCCUCCGGUGAUCUCUCCCCGGGAUCUUCCUUCCUCAUCAUUCUGAUUUUCUAUCAUUGGAGCUUCUCCAUGGGUCAACAAUGCUCCUCCCCACUGGAUCUCCAACCGAAUCCAGUUAACAAGAUGGAUUUCUCUCCGGGACACGCUUUCUAGAAAUAGGUUCUGGAAUCUUUUGGUAAAUCAGUCCAUCACCGCUCCUCCUCCCCUAAUGGAUCUUUCGUGCUUUUGGCCACCUUUCGAAGAUUCACCUUCCGUCUAACAAAGGAAUCAGUUGCUCUGGCUUUGCAAUCUUGUCUUGGUGGAUCUGCCGCAGGUUUUCAUGUAUCCUAUGUCAGUGAUCGUCACUUUCGCUUUUCUGUCUCUUGCAAAUCAAUGGGUUUUAUGGUUUACAAUUUAGGUCGAUUCAUUGUUUCCUCUUUUGAUGUUUACUUUCAUCUCUAGAAUAAUGGGGUUGCCUAUCGUGAAUCCGAUAAACAUCGCUGGGAAGAGGAACAAGUGAAGGAAUAGACUUAUGUUCUUUCCAAGAAAAAACAACGACGGGAACGCCAGGCUGCUAAAAUCUGGGUUCGACUUUCUUCUUCUAAACGUGUUCAUUUUGCGUCAAAGCUGGUUCAAGAUUCUCUUGCUUCAAAGUUCAGCCCUCCUGCUCAACCGAUUUUGGUCAAUUUCAGUGCGUUUUGUUCUUCUAUGAUGCCGGAUGCAAUUCCUUCUUCUUUCAAGCCUAUCAUCUUCGGCUCUGAUAAUUCAAGAAGUCAAGUUUAUUGUGGCGGAACCGCCUUAAUUAACUUAGCUAAAGCACAAAUAAGUCGCCUGACACGCGGUCUUAUGCUUUAACCAAGUUAACUCGGCAGUCCAUCGGAUUUCAUCCGAUAAAACCACUACACAGGACCGAGAAAGCAGAGCUCACACGAAGGUGAGUGGUUCUAGAGAAUACAACAGAUCAUCCAAAAUUAAACAAAUACAUUAAUUUUUCAACUCGGGUUCGAAAUUCAACAAAGUUUUACAGAGCUCUCAAGCAGCGGAAAAAGAUAAACCAUCGGAAGCUAGCGCCGGGGGUCGGAUGUCACGAUCAGGCUGACCAUGACAUCACUGGUUCCUGUCCUCGCCGUCCGAGGAGGGAUCCCACUCGACCGUCCAACCAGGAGGAAGCUGGGGAGGCCAAGUGCCAACAGCAGCAAACUCAGGAGCUUCAACAUCACCUGAAAGAUGUGCCACAAGCAAGGCUGAGCAACUAUGCUCAACAAGACUUAACCGACCGGUGGGAACUACUCCACCAACUUCUAGACAUGCAAGGCUUUUUGGCUGAGGGGUUUGUUUUGCUAAAAGCGACUACAGUAGGUCCUUACUUUUAAUAUUUUAGCUUCCGGUUCUAAGUUCAUUACCAAACUAAGUUAGCAGCUAUACUAAACAAGCAAAAGUUCCCAAGCAAAUUAUGACAAGAAAACAUAUUACAUCAUCAUCAAGUUUCAUUCUUACUCAGUGUAGCAUAGCGAUCAAGCAGUCCCAAACUGUGAGAGGCAGAUGAAUCGAUUCGAAUUUCUUAACCAUGCAUGGCGAACCUAAUCUCACGACAUCCGCGUACCAAAAAAGGGUCGCUUCCCUUGUCGGCCGUCCCCCUUCAAUCUCCUAACCCGUGUCGGGCCCACUUCUCUUGGUACAAGGCUCCACAGACCCAGCCUCUGCCGUUCUAUAACCAUGCUUGCCACCACAUGCGGCCGCAAGGGAACUUCAUUCCAGAGACAGUGGAUCGAACCACUCACGUCCUGGUUCAAUCAGGUACUAGGCUUCCCCAUCCCAUACUAGGUAUGAGAUUAGUACUUUCAAAUACUUGAUCACGAACACCAACACCUUCCGACCUUAAACCAAUUUCAUGUAGAUAGAUGGGGCAAUCCACCGACCACCAAAAUAGUUCAUAGAGCCCUGCCCCGUCCAUCAUCCUUAUAGUUGUAACAAAAAGGAGAGCAAGCAACUCCUAUAACUCGCGAGUGAUAGGGAAUCACUCGACUUUUACCGAGUCCUGUUAAGCACUGCAACUACUCAGCCUAUCAUACUAGUGUUCAGAUCAAAGGGAACUAAGUCAUGCAUCUAUGGUUCCAAACAACUCCUGAAUGUAAAUGCACAUACAUACAAUAGAAGGCAUGCGCAAGUUUAGAAAGACUGGGUUAUGCUCCGGGGCUUGCCUUCGAGCGGGGCGGAAGCAAGCUGAUCUUCGACGCUCUCGGGCUCAGCUCCUGCAGGCGGCAGCUCGGCUACAACUCCAUCUUCUAGCACCGGGUGCAGCUCGUACGUGCCGUCAGCGAGGUUUAGCUCUACAUGAAAUGCAAAUGCAAGGGGGUCAGACACUUAGACGGUGAUUUCAACAACACUUGCAAAGAUUUAGCCCAAAAACUGUAGCAAAACUAUAGGAAAAAGUGAAAAACCCACUUUAUUGGAUUCUACUCAGAACAAGGAUUCCAACCCAAGUGAUUUCACAUUUUUUUGAUUUUUCCUCAAUUUAAGAUGGAAUUUCCAAGCUUCUGUUGAUUUAGAACAAGAUAAAAGAGUCGGGUCAGGAAAAACUUGCGAUCUGACCCUUAGACCUAAGGAAUAACUGUACCGGGGUCCUUAGACUUAACACAGAGAAGUCCCCAAAAUUUUACACAGAUACCCUUGGUCAAAAGAAAAAGACACAGCCGAGCCCUCGGGCAAGGCGAACAGGGGUCGGGUGGAAUAGGUAGGGUCGGGCGAGACGGACAGGGGUUGGGCGGAACAGAUAGGGUCGGGCGAGACGGACAGGGGUCAGACUACUGACGAAGUCUUGGGGUCGGAAAGAAGCAAGCUCAGGAGGAACGACGAAAGGCGUUAUGUUUCGGGCGGCGGUGAGGUCCGGCGGUGCUCCUGCGGUGGUGGUGCUUCUUGUGGACAACAAGCAAGCUCUUAGCACUGCGUGAAGGAAAGAGAAGCGGCUGGUGGGGGUGGCAAGGCAUGGUGUUGGGCAGAAGGGGGAGCUCCAUAGAGAGCUCAGGUGGCGGCACUUGCGCGUGAAGCAGAGGAGUGUGCGGCGGCGAGUGCGCUGGAGAAGAAACCAAGCAAGCAGUGCGGCAAAGGCAAUGGUAGUGAAGGGAACUCUAGUAAGAGGCUUCGGUACCCCUCUUAUAGCUGAGCGGAAGUGAACGAGCUCGAGCGGCGCGAGGAUAAGGUCGAGGGAGAAGAAGUGCUUUGCUGCGGCGGCCAUUGGUCGACGUCUCCAUUGGCCGGAGAGGCGGAGCUCCGAGGACAGGAUCCUACGGCAUUGGGCAAGGAAGACAGCGCUAGGCAAGUGCGGUUUUGCCGGGUGGAAGGAUUUGCGAGGUCGAGCGCGUGCCUGGUCAUGUCAAGCGCCGGACUGGGUGCGGCAGCUCGGUAUUGGCGGACAGGAGGGAGGGAGGUGCACUGCAGGCGAGGGUGCUAUAGGCGAGGUGACAGGGCGAGCGGUGAGACGUGAGCAUGCGCGGACUAGCGACUCUGCCGGGGUACACUACUAGCGAGGCGGGGGAAAGGAGUUGUCACUGCCUGUGCAGUGGUUGGUGAAGACAGUGGUGUCGCGGGGCGCGCGUGCGGGCAGCGCGAUUGAGGUGUGACGGGAGGGCCGGAAGGCGUUGGGGCGCACGGCCGAGGAUCCGGGUGAGGUGAUGCGCGUGAGAGGCGAGGCGAUACCGGUGCGGUAGCAGCCAGUCUUCGGUUGCAGCAGCGGGCAGUGCACUUGGCGCGGCCGGCGAGGUCUCGGGCGAGACGAGACGGGGCGGAGAGGUCUACAGGGCGCUUCUGUGCGCGAUUGGGAAAGAGGUGCGCUGAUCCAUCUUGUCGCGGCCGGCGACUGGGUGAGGCGGCGCUUGCCGGUGAGGUCACGCCACGCGGCGGUGGCUCUCUAAAACAGGGUGCACGUGUGCUCUGGCGCUCUUUGUCCGAUAGAUCCGUAGGAUUCCUUGCUGGCCCCAUCUUCCAGCCUCUUGAUCUCCCGAUUUCCAAACUGACCACUUUGACUCCCUUAACAAGAGUUAUAGUACUCAGGCCAAAGUCCAAUUCUUGUAAUUGGACCGAGUUCAAAAACGCAGUGGAUUCAGAGAUCCAAAGCUCCAAAGUUUGGAGGAACAUUGGUUUCGAGACUUAAAGAAAACAGCAGUUUGCUGGGUUUCAGGGGUCGGGGCUGAUUUGAGCUGCAGAUUUUGGAAUCUUCAGAGGUGAAUUGGAUCAAGGUCCAAUUAAUAGAGUUAAAGCAGGGACUUCGUUCUCCAACUUUUACAAAGGGAUUUCCUGAUGUUCAGCUCAACUUUCCAAAGAUAAACCUUCCCUAAGGCACUAGGUUAGGUUGAAAUCCAGACUUAGCUGGUAUGGCUCAAGAAAGGCUGAGUCAACCAGAUUAGGGGACUUGUCUUAAGAUUAAACUCGGCUGAUUUAAAUCUAGGUCGUUACAUUUAUCUUGAGGAUGUUCCAGUCUUGAAAGCUUUUGCUCGUAUUGGAAAAGAUCUUGAUCUUGAUUUUACCUUAGAAGAUGUGCCUGGAAAAGAGCCCCCGUGUUCUUCGUGAGUUCGUAAUCAAUGCCGAGCAAAAACAGAGGGUUUUCCGGAGCCAAGUGCCGAGGUUUCAAAUUUCAAAUUCAACUCUGGAAUGGGCCGAUUCUGCUCGCGUUGCCUAGCACCUGGUCACUUGGCCCAUUCAUGCUCCUCUCAGAUCCGCUGCCGGGCCUGUUUCAACUAUGGCCAUCUCAGGAAAUGGUGCCUUACCAAGUCUUGGCCCAUGGUUGUUUGGCCCCCCAAAAGACCUCCCAAUCCAAUAGAGACCCAUGACGCAGACCACACAAGUGCAGUUAACCAAGGGUCGAUUUCCCUCAAUUCCUGUACGGUAGUCGCGGACUCUCUAACUUCCUCGAUAGAGCCUUCCUUUCCUCCACAGCCCCAAGCAAAUAGUUGCCGAUCACAUCCUGCUCUACCACCGCCGCCUCCACCGGACCACAUGGCCAACUUCCCCGGCAACCCAAUGUUGUAUGUCCCUAUGGGGCAACACGUCGAACAUGGAUGGCUUUGUCUGACGCACUCCUGGGUGGCCCUUGGUGCGGAACCCCCAAGGCACCAUGAAUAGUACAUGAUCAUCUCGCUGGAUCCUGAAUCAAUGCAAGAACAAGUGCAUGACCUUCUCCAAGAUGUCUCCAGUUUCCUUGAGCAAGAAUACCCUAUGAGAGUUGUCUCGGCUUUCACUUCGCCUUUGGGAUUAGGUUUGUUUCAGUUAGAAAACCCUUUCUAGAGGGGCCUAUUACUUGAUGCCUCACUGAUCCCAUUUGGUCAUGGUAACUCGAUUGUUCAGAAUCAUGAUGAGGCUAGGAAUUUUAGAGCUUGCCCGUACAUUAGACAAUGCUGGAUCAUGUUUUUAGCUUUUCCUUUGGAUUACCAAACGCUAGAUUUUAUCGAGGCAGCUGUGGCCUCUUUCGGCAGGCUCCUACAUUGGUUUGAGGGACCGACCAAAUCAAGGAUUUUAAUUCAGUGUUUAGUGCUCACACCAGAUAGAGUUCCUUGUAGUGUGGUUGUUUCACAAGGAACUACGCUAGGGAAUGGUCGUUCUUGGUCUGUUCCAGUUCUCAUUCUUGGAGGUCAUUUUCCAGAUGCUUUUCUAGCAGAUGAGGACCCUGUUCCUGCGGGUGGAAAUUCUCACCCGGGCCAUGGUGGGGUUAAUAUUCAUCAUAACAAUGUCGAUUAGCAAUGGCAUCAUGACUUUGUUAGUGCAGCUCAAGCAGUGCAGGCUGAUGUAGGAAUGAACAAUGAAUAGGUGGCUACUACUGAGGAAGAGCUCGCUCCACAUAAUCAGAAUGAAAUGCAGAACAACAAAAAUGGUGAGGGAUGGCCACUGAAUCAAAAUGCUAUGCAGAACAAUGACAAUGAUGGGGAUUGGCUAGCGUGGCCUCCUAUUGAGGAGGUGGAUAACAAUGUUGUUGAGGUGCCUCAUCAUCUUGAUCAACCCCAGGACUCAAUAUCAUUUGAUCAGUCAGGCAUGACAGCUAAAUACCUGAGGGCUAAUGGGCCUGACAUUAUUAUCAAAGUGGAGGAUAUCUGUAACUACAUGAAUGAAUCAUCAUCCUCUGGCGAUUCAUCAUCAGCUUUAGUAGAGGUUCAAAGUCUACCAUUGGUUGAUUUUGAGAUUGUGGAAUCCAGAGCCUUUAGGUUGCUGAUUGCUCCUCCAAACCCACAGUACCCUAUAAUAUCCAAACUGACAAAGACAACCAAUUCUUCACCUUUGGUAUUUUCUAUAAACACAGACCUAAUCCAGUAGAAUCAUGAAAAAGAACUGGCCAUUGUCCCUUUCAAGCCAUGCCCAACUGCUAUGUUGUUGCGUUACUGGGCUGAACAUGUCACUAGUAGUGUUAAGAGGGUUCUUGCUUGAGUUAUUGAUCUUGAUGAUACCCCUGAACCUGAGGCCACAAUUGAAUCACAAUAGGAAGUCAUCCCAGAGGCAAUGGAAGAUGAGUAUAUCCAGGAUAUGCAGGAGCCACCAAGGCAGCCAAUUGCCUCAACUAAAAAGGUGGUCUCUUUACCCUCUGUAACAUCCAUUCUAUACCCCAGCAUCCCUCUAGAAGAAUCUUCUAUGCGUAGAAGCAGUAAACUUAGCCAAAACAAAGAUGGCUACCAGUUCUUUCAACUUGAGGAUCAUCCUAGGAGAAGGAAGAAAGUUUGGGCUGAAAUACCUGUCAAAUAGAGUGAUGCAGCAAGGAUCCUUGACAAUCCACCUAAGCCAACAGAUUAGGAACUUCCAGGCCAAAUUCCAAUUGAGAUCAGGAGUUGACAGAAGAGGCUCUCAGGAAAGGGCCAUCAUCACAAGUGAACCCAUGAAGAUACAACCCAUAGAAGCCCAUGUCCAACAGGCCGCUCCAGUUUCUUUUUGUUAAUGAUGCUUUACAAUGGCCGCUUGGGAGACUAAUGCAUCUACUAGUCUUACCCUCGUUUUCUGUUAUGAUACUUCUAAUUGUCUUUUGGGGUGGCCUUUGAGAUCGAACUGCUUUUGUUUCCUCCUAUGUUACUAUGUUAAAGUUUAAACUGCACGUUGGUAAUUAUGGUUAGUGGUUGCUUUCUUCUUGGCCUGGUCCCUCUAGGCUUUUCAACAGUGUUUGCUUGGAUUGUCCUUCCUGAGGUUUUACCAUGUACUGGCUACAUUGGUCGUUGGCUCUUUCUUAUUGGUUGCAUAAUGAAUAGAAGUUGGAACAUUCUGUGCUAGAAUAUUAGGGGUAUUAACAGUGAAAGGAAAUGGGAUGCUCUCAGGAACAAAAUAGAGGAAAAUGCGUGCGCUAUAACCUGUUUACAGGAAACUAAGUGAGAAAAAUUUGAUACUCCAUACAUUAGGAAGUUUGCACCUAAAAGGUUUGACAAGUUUGAUUUUAUCCCCUCGAUUGGAGCAUCUGGAGGUAUCCUUGUCAUUUGGAACAAUUUGAUUUUCAAUGGUUGCAUGAUGGAAAAGCAAACCUUCGCAAUCUCCCUGUCUUUCACGUCCUGUCAUUCUAUGGCAAAAUGGAAUUUAACCACAGUAUAUGGGUCUUAUCUGGAGCCUGCUAGGAUAGAGUAUGUGCACUGGUUGAGAAACAUUUAGAUACAACCUGUCACACCCUGAAAUUUUUGGAUUUCAGGAUGUGAUUAGAAAGAACAAUUAAACAAAGAUUUUCUUAUAAUUUUAAAGUUUUCCCAACUUUAUUUUCUUGAAAGGAAAUUUAGUAUUGUAAAAAUAUUUGGUUGUUUCUUAAAUUAAAUAAGGUUGUUCUUUGUGCGUUGUAUUCAUGCUAAUGCAUCUUGGUGUUUAUUGAGUGCAAAUGUUUUAAAAUGUGUUUAGACGACGACUAGGUUCUUCUUAGAACUUUCCAGCUUUUUUUGGAAUUUAUUCUCAUUUUCCUAGAGCUAAAUCUGUUUAUUAGAAGGCUCUAGAACCCUUUCCACGAGCUCCAAGUAUUUUAUUUGGACUCCUCAUGUCCCAAACUAUCUCUAGGAUGUUUCUUGGAAUUUUUGGAAUUUUCUGGAUAUUUUCAUGCUUCAAAAAAAAUGUAGAAUUAUCUGGAUUUGUUUUGCACUGGAAAUUAUAUUCCAAAAAAUGAUAAAACUUUAAAUCCUUACCGGUCGGAUCAAAGCAAACCUGACCCAACCCGUCAGACCCUAAACCUACCCGGCUCUCCCUCUUUUCCUUCGCUGCAGGUGGACCCCACCUCUCCCUUGGGUGGAGCCAGCGAGGCUCGGUCCAGGUCCGCUCCAGCCCAGCUGCUCAGCUCUUCCCGAGCCGCACGGUAGCACUGCUGCCGCCGCCGGCCAACCUCUAGUCGUGCGCGCCUCACUACCCUAGGGCCCCGUGCCCUAUAAAACGCAAGCAGCCGCCACCUCGCGCCUCCCUACUGCCUCUGCAACCCCACGUCUCGCCUUUUCUCGCGCAGCACCGCCGUCGCCAGAGCCGUGAAGCCAAGCGCCACUUCUAGCCUUUGUCGUUUCCCUCGACCACCGGAUGAAGCCGCGGCCACCACAAGCACCGGGACAUUGAGCAGCACGUCCACCACCAGCCUUCUUCCAUCGUCCGCCGUCGGAAGAGCUCCGCCGCGUGGACCUCAGUUUGGCCGCUGUCUCCAUUGACCCCACCUGAUUCGCUAGCCCGUUGUUCCCCAAGAGACAUCGACAGUGCCUCGUGCCUUAUGACGCCGAGCUGAAGCCAUCCUGCCGGUCACCGUGGUCGAUUAGCCGCCGGAGCACCGCAUGCACGAGAAGAGCGAGGCAUCGCCAUCCUAUGCCGCCGGGCCGAAUUCUGGCCGCUGCCUUAUUCUCUUGCCAAUGGUGAGCAGCUCCACGAGAUCCCCACCAGCUCCUCUAUCUCCUGUGCCACCUGCUUGAGCCCCUACCUUGCCAGAGCGCCGGCGAUUUCGCCGCCCAGAGCCGCUCGUUGGCCAUGGGAGCAAGCUCUAUGAGCUUUUACAUUUAGGCCCCUACGUGAUCUUGUAAUCUUUAGCUUGCUUCACAGUUAACCCCCCUAGGUGUUCUCAAUCUUCACAAACAGAUCUAGCCUAUGAUAUUUUAUAGAUUUAACCCUGAUCUUUUAGCCUUUUGCAAGCACUAUUUGUAUUGUCUUGUUAAUCUUCCUUGCUAGCCCUCUAGAUCUAUAGUUAACCUUGUUUAGGUUCUUACAACCAUUUUAGUCCGAGCCUUUGUUUUUGCUCAGAUAACAUCCGUUCAAGUUGCGUUAGGUUUGUAUCAAUUUAAACUACGUAUUAGUCAUCAUGUUUAUCAAAUCCAUGCUUUGAUGAAUUUAUUAUGAAAUUGAUUUGAUUAAUGUCUAUUUAAACUUGUUUUUCUAAUUAAAAUCUAUUUAGAGUGCUACCUCGUGUUUUUCAUAUAAAUGUUAAUUUGAUUAAUGCCUGUUAAACAUGUCUUCUUUAAUUAAAAGCUACUCAGUGUUAUGUACACCGCUUUUCAUAAUAAAUAUUAAUUUGAUUAAUUCUUGCUUUUCUAAAUAAAAGCUAAUUAGGUUAUAUAUCGGUUUUUCAUAAACUAAUAUUAAUUUGAUUAAUGUCCAAUGUUGAAUCAAAUUUUCUAAAUAAAAGUUGAUAAGGAUUUUACACCAGCGUUCAUAAAUAAAUAUUAACUUGAUUAAUUUCAACAUGAAUAUGUUUUCAAUAACAAUUUUGACUCGAAUCAUAAAGAAUACGUAUAGAUGUUUCACAUAGUUUAGCCGUUCUAAAGUCAAAUGCUUAAAUGGUGUAAUUUAUAUUUCAAUAUUUAUAAUUAAAAUAUGGUUAAGUUAUAACUCGGUUUUUCUUAAUUUUGAUAAAAUGACUAAUGUCAAUAUACAUGUGUUUUCUAAAUAAAGUUUGUUUAGGCCAACACCACAUAUGUAUUAAUUCGAUUAUCUAUUCUCACAUUUCUAUAGUUAAAUGUGUAAUUGCUCUAAUUUAUACAUGAACAUUUACAAAUAAAACUUUACUAGGUAUUUACCUCGAUUUUUGCAAAUAAAGUAUAAUUUACAUUAAUUACAACUUAGGGUAUUUUCUUUCUGAAAUAUCCUUUACUUAUGUUUUGUAAAUUAAAAUAAACCCAGCUUAUUUCUUUGUGCUCUCGUAUACGCAAAGCAUUCGAUAGUCAUCCUUUGUUAGUUUUAGCUCAGUAUCUCUUUUGUAGAUCUAGUCUUCUCUGAAGCUUUAGAUCUUUCCAGUUCCAGUUCAAGCUUAAAUCCUGUUGCUUCCAUAAAUCUAACCAAGCCUUUUCUUUUCAAGCAUGGUUCGUGUGCUUUAGUGAGCCAAAUAGUUUUUCUUAGAGUUUCUAUUAUGCCUAAUAGAUCGAUGUCUGGUGAGUAGUUUUGUGCUGCUAAUUUCCCUAUCUAGUAGUCUUAUCAUGCUUGUUUCCUGUUCCUCUUAGAAUCAUAUUUCUCAUAAUCCAUCUCAUAGCUGUCCUGUCUUAGUUGUCUCUUUGUGAGUCAGCCACGUUCUUUAGAUCGUUGUGGCCAAAUCUUUCGCAGCCAUGUCUUUAGAGCCAAUCUUGUUAGUUUGUUUCUCUGCCAACUAGUUCAACGUAGCUUUGGCUAGUUUGUUGUCACUGUAGCCUAGUUGUUCUCUUUGUAGACUAGUUUUUUUCUUCCUAAACCAUAGUUUAACCUUUUCUUCUCUUUGUGAGUCUCAGCCACGUUCUUUAGAUCUUUGUGGUCAAAUCUUUCGCAGCCAUCUCUUUAGAGCCAAUCUUGUUAGUUUGUUUCUCUGCCAACUAGUUUAGCUUAGCUUUGACUAGUUUGUUGUCCCUGUAGCCUAGUUGUUCUCUUUGUAGACUUGUUUUUCCUAAACCAUAGUUUAAGCUUUUCUUCUGUGCUCUAGAGUCUGUUUUGUUGUUUCUAUUUGCUUCACCUUAACUUAUGCGGUUAGUCAUGUGUAUUACAUGUUGGUUGUUUUUAACAUCAAAGUUAAAUAUCAAUUUAACUAAUACUUAUUAAAACCAGUUUUCUAAUUAAAAGUUUGCUAGUUUUGCAACACGAGUUUUCAUAUAAAAUGUUAACUUGACUAAUUCUUAUUCAAUUAGUUUUCUAAAUAAAAGUUGAUUAGGUUCUAUCCCUAUUUUCAUGAACUAAGAUUUAAUUGAUUAAUUCCUAUUUAUGACUAGCUUUUGUAAAUUACCUAGCAUUAUACACCAAUUUUCUUAAAAAAAGUUUUAAUAUGAUUAAUAUCAAAAUAAAUUAGUUUUAAUUAUAACUUAUCUAGUUCAACACGACAUAUAAACAUAACAAUUAGAUGUUAUUGCAUAUAGUCUAUUUUCCAAAGUUAAAUGUUUAAAUGGCACAAUUUAUACAUGAAUAUUUAUUUAUAUAAAUAAAAGUUGACUAGGUUUUACAUCGUCUUUUCAUAUAAAAAUAUAAUUUGAAUUAACUCUCACUUAGGGUAUUUUCUAGAAGUAAUCUUUAGAUGUGUUUUCUAAAUAAAAAUAAAAGCAACAUAUAGCUCUUGUCUUUUCCUUGACAACCAAAGUUCACCUGAUACGUGUAUGUUUUCAAUGGUAGCAUCGCUCUUAGUGUUUCAUGUGCCUUCGUGAUCUUAGAAUCGAGCCCUAUCCUUUAGUACGCUCUUUUAAAACUUUUUCUUUGAUUGGUGUAUUGUUCUUAGUUUUACUUGUUUGUUUGCUUGUAUGGCUGUGCCGGUGAUUGCUCCGAGUAGAAGGAUUGCUGUUCAAAAGCUUUGAAGAUUAAUAGUUCCAAGAGAGUAAGAGUAGAAAAGCAGUAAGAACAACUUUUCUUUGGAGAAAGGCAAGUGUCACUAACAAUCCUUCUAUCUAUGCUUAUUUAUAAGAAUAUCUUACAUUAAUUGGAACACGGAGCGACCACCCAGGAAAAUAGUACAACCACAAGGACUACUUGGCUCUGGUUUUGGCUAAUUAAUUAGAGACUCUAGUUUGAAGCGUUCUUACCGAAAAGGCAAGAGGGGCGGCGGCAAAUGGGGUAUAGUCCGGAUUCUAAACCAAUUUUUUUUUCUUUCCAUUCUUUCUGCUUGAACUUACUUUCCUAACAGCCAAACCUUUUCACCUAGCUACCCUCAGACUGAUCUGUCUAUGGUAGCUUCAUAGUCUUGAGAGAGGUUUAUGCUCUGCUAAUGAUCCGGAAAUCUUAGCGAACUACUUAUUAGGGAAUCUUUGUAAAUACCUCGUAGCGUCCCUAUGCAAUUACACCUCGGUAGUGUGAUAAGUGCCUACUUUUACACAUGAUGGUUGGGUCUAAAUUUCUUCUGAACUUUUACGCGACUUGUGUUGAAAGUGUACAACCUCUGCAGAGUGUUUAAAAGCUGUUAUAACAGCCGUGCUCAUGGUUAAGAGCGGCCUGGACCCUUACAUGAUUAAUAAACUUGAAGAUGGACUUAAAUCAUUAUUCUAGUUAUUUCUUGUGGCCUUGCUGAGUACCAACCAUAAGUGUACUCACCCUUGCUAACUGCUGCUCAGAAGGAGAAUGUGUGUGAAAUUUUUUGAAGAUGAUGCUUAGUUCUACGCGUACAUAUCCCCCAGUCGAUUGCCUAUGAAGUUUGGAGCCUUCGUUUCCAGGAUUAAACUGUAUAUCUCUGAUAGACUCGUAAGUCAUUAUUUAUAUUCUUUUACGUGAUAAUGUUACUGUUAUUCACUGAUGAUGUCACUAUACGCAUGAAACUUGAUCCAUAUAGGUAGCACUUGGUUUUGUUUGAAAACCAGGUGUGACACAACCGAACGAUAACUGGAUUUUCAUGGGGAAUUUCAAAUUUAUUGCUCCUUGGAAGAUCGUAACAAAUCGGGAGGUGAUAUCCAGGACACCUUUAUCUUUAAUGAUAUCAUUGGCCACCUUGGCUUACUUGAACUUCCGAUCAAAGGAAGAGCAUAUACCUAGAGCAACAUGCAGCAAGACCCUCUCCUUGAGCAGCUUGAUUGGUUUUUCACUAUGGUUAAUUGGACUGGUGACUACCCCAGUACCAUGGUUCUUCCAUUGGCUAAACCAAUAUCAAAUCAUAUUCCAUGCAAAGUAAUGAUAGGGACGUCUAUCCCAAAAUCAAGAAUUUUUAGGUUCGAAAAUUUCUAGACUAAGGUGGAUGGGUUUUAUGACACUGUUCAAUCUUGUUGGACAGUGAUACCCAGACACAAGAUGGGUUCAGCCCCAAGAUUGGCAACGAAGCUUAAGAAUCUAAGGCAUUCUCUCAAACAGUGGAGAAGAAACAUCUCAAAUUUGCGCAAGUUGAUAGAUAAGUGUAACAAGGUCAUUCUCUUCUUUGAUAGUUUGGGGGAUUGUAGGCCUCUUUAUGCCAUUGAAUGGAACUUUAGGGGGCUAAUCAAGGAUCCUUUACUGCAGCACAUGAAAUUUAGAAAUUCAAAAAUAUGUACUGGUAGAAGAGAUUUACAGCCAAUAGGAUCAAACUUGGAGAUGAGUGUACAAAAUUCUUUCAUGCCAUGGCAACUGUUUCCAAUAGGAGAAACCUGAUUUCAUAGCUUAAGGAUGAAGAUGAAAUGGAAGUAUUUGAUCAUGAGGGGAAAGAAUCUAUGAUAUGGAAUGCUUUUAAAGGCAGAAUGGGUAUCUCAUCAAAUCCUACUAUGCUUUUUGAUCUACAAGACCUAAUUUCACUAGAUGUUGAUAUGUCUUGCCUGAUACAACCAUUCUCCAGGGAGAAAAUCGAUAGAAUUGUGGCCAUAAUGCCUCCUGAUAAAGCACUAGGUCCAGAUGGUUUUAAUGGUCUAUUCAUUAAGAAGUGCUGGCCAAUCAUAAAGGAGGAUUUCUAUAAAUUUUGCCAAGAUUUCUUUGAUGGAACAGUUGAUCUGAAGUUAAUAAAAAGCUCUUUCAUCACUCUGAUCCCCAAAAACAAUAGCCGUAAAACUAUCAAUGACUUCAGACCUAUUUCUUUACUCAAUUGUAGUAUCAAAAUACUGACAAAAAUCCUAGCCGAGAGGCUUCAAUUAGUUAUCCUUUUGCUCCUACACAAAAAUUAGUAUGGCUUCCUCCGCUCCAGGUCCAUUCAAGAUUGUCUUGCUUGGUGCUUUGAAUACAUCCACAAGUGUCACCAAUCUAAAAGGGAAAUCAUCAUCUUGAAAUUAGAUUUUGCAAAGGCCUUCAACACUGUGGAACAUUCAACAAUGUUGGAAAUUAUGAAACAUAUGGGGUUUCUAGAUAAAUGGUUGACUUGGGUACGAUUGCUUUUCUCUUGAGGAACAUCUGCAGUCCUGCUCAAUGGGGUGCUAGGGAAGCAAUUUAAGUGUAAACAUAGCAAGGAGAUCCUCUAUCCCCUCCUCUUCAUCCUAGCAGUAGAACUGUUACAAUUGGUAGUCAACAGAGCUUUUCAUGACAAUCAGCUUACAGCUCCCCUUCCACAAACACACCAUGACUUCCCAAUAGUCCAAUACGCGGAUGACACCAUUCUAAUUAUGCAGGCAGAUAGUGCGCAUUUAGAAUACCUGAAAGGCAUUCUACAUGUAUUUUCAGAGUCCAUAGGCCUCAAAGUUAAAUACAAUAAGUCAUCAACGGUUCCCAUUAAUGUUUCAGAGGACAAAAUAUCUCAGCUUGCAUCUGAAUUUGGGUGUUAGAUUGGGAGUAUGCCCUUCACCUAUCUUGGUCUACCGAUGGGAACAACUAAACCAAGAAUAGAAGAUUUUUCACCAAUCGUGGAUAGAAUUGAGAGAAGAUUAACUGCUUGCUCAUCUCUCUUGUCUCUGUUAGGUAGACUACAAAUGGUAAAUUCAGUUAUCACCCCAACUAUUCUAUAUCCAAUGUGCACUCUGAAACUUCAUAAAGGGGUCAUUGAAAGCAUUGAUAGGGCCAGGAAACAGUGCCUUUGGAGAGGAAAUGACCUGAACAACAAAGGAGAGAAUUUAGCUGCAUGGCCCAUGGUCACUUUGCCAAAACAAAAAGGUGGCCUUGGGGGUCAUUAACUUAAGGGUUCAGAAUGAUGCUCUCUUGUUAAAACACCUUGACAAGUUCUAUGGGAAACAAGACAUUCCUUGGAUAAACUUGAUCUGGUCAACAUACUAUGCAGACAAAGUGCCUCAAGCCACCAGAGAAGUUGGGUCAUUCUAGUGGAAAGAUAUUCUACGAUUGAGUACUCACUUUAGGGGAAUAGCUAGGUGUGUGUUGGGUGAUGGAUCGGCAAUCAUGUUUUGGAAAGAUUUAUGGAGCUCUAGCAUCAUUGCAGACCUUUACCCCGGGCUGUUUUCCUUUGUGAGAAAUCCUAACUAGUCAGUUAAAGAGGUUAUGGCAGCGCCGGACUUGUCCACCCUCUUUACCCUACCUCUCUCGCAAGAAGCUUUUGAACACAUGAUAGCUCUCCAAACUUACCUGCAAGCUUUCUCUUAUGAGGAAGACUCAAAAGAUCAAUGGAUUUAUAUUUGGGGGAAUGGAACCUACACCUCAGCCAAGUUCUACAGGUUUGCCUUUGCUGGCCUGUAGGUACCCCCAACGUUCACAUGGCUAUUGAAAUCAAAAUGUACUCCCCAAGUCAAACUUUUCACAUGGCUACUCCCGGUGGAUCAUCUCAACACAAGGAAUAUGUUGCGUAGAAGAAUCUUAAAUGUCCAAUCAGGAGUAAACUGUGUCCUAUGUAACAUGGUAGUCGAAGAAGAUAGGGACCAUCUGUUUUUUUACUGUCCCUUCUCGACUAGAUGUUGGUCGAAGCUGCAGGAUGAAAACACAGAGAUUCACGCCAAAAUAUCUAUGACGAGAGAUGUCGCAGGACAGCAAUUCUUCAUGGAAUCCUUCGUCCUGGCCGCGUGGAAAAUCUGGAAAUUGUGCAAUGAUGUUAUCUUCGAUGUUGUGCGUCCAAGUUUUAAUCUCUAGGCUAUGAAGUUUAGAGAAGAAGCUACUCUCCAAGCUAUUCGUUUUAGGGAGGAUCGUCGAGGUCUUUUCUUGCAAUGGCUUAAUUCAGUGUUGUUAUUUUGCUAUGAUGUAACCCCUCCUCCCUCCUCGCCCCCUCCCCUUCCUGCUCCCCCCUAUCAUGUAAGUAUGUCCCUCUUUCUUUUGGAACCUUUUCUGACUUUCUAACCCUAAUGAAAAUUGAAGUACCGUGGGAAACUCCCCCACAGUUUGCCCUUCAAAAAAGUGAUAGGGAGGUCACCAUGCCACUGCUGAGGUCACCUAGGGAGGUUACCAUGCCACUGCUAAGGUCGCCCAUGGGCCCCGCUCGCUCACCGCAGGUUGCCAUCUCUUGUUUGCUGAUGACCACAAUGUGCCUCCGCUCUGUAGCUCGUCACCGUGCGGGUAAGCUACACUGGCGUGCACCACAAUGUUGCAGCUUCGUGUAGUCACGUGCAUGAGUUAUGCUGCUGCAUGUCACUGCUUCAUGUUGCUGCACGAGUGAGCUAUACAUACCAGCAUGCGCCGCAUCUGCCUCAACUACCUCAUUUGCCACCUCACUCGCUGACGGCCUCCUCGCUUAGGUCUCUGCAAGAAGAUGUGGUCAAGGCCACCGACAAGAUGGCGGCGGCUGUGCCUAAAAUAGAUCUAGGUAUGGCCACGUCUCGUAGCAAUGCAUGGGUAUAUUUUCUAGUCUUUUCUUAUACGGAGAUAGACAAAGAUAAUCCGAUUGGCUCACAAUUUUGUAACUGUAAGGUGCUCAUAUAUCCUGUAUAGGCUGAUGUGAUCCGGUCAGCAUAUUGGUCACCUUUAAGAUUCUAGGUCUGUUUACUCGACCUUCAUCAUGCUUCAUAUAGUCAUACGUAUUAUAUAAUAACUAAGUGGAUUUCUUUUGGACGAGGUAGUAAAUCCAGGGGGAGUUCUAUAAUAAUGGAUCAAAUUUGCAUCAUCGUCAAGACUCGGGUUCAGAAUAGUUGAUCCAAAAUGUUGAACUUGGAAAGUUGAUGCAAGACAUAUUAUCCAUAUAUGUGCAUACACAAUAUGUUUAUAUAUAUAAUAUUAUCUUAAAUAUAAUAUUAUAAAUAAAUACAACUUUAUAUAUAUUAGUGUAUUAGAAUUAGUAUACGUAAAGGAAACAAAUAUGAAAUACUAAUAUAGAAUAAAGAAACAGAAAAGAAAAUGCGAAAAAAUAGAGAAAAAAAGACAAACAACUGGUACUAAAUUAGCCUCCGCCAUGCGCGACGUGACAGCCAAUUUAGUACCAGUUGGUAUAAACAAUCGGUACUAAAGACCCCAAUUUAAUAUCAAACUAACAAUACCGGUUGCAGAACCGAUACUAAGGGGUUACAAACCGAUACUGAAGGCGCUUAUAUAUGAUGAAAUGAAAGAAAUGAAAAUGGCAAUAUAUAAUAGUUGAACGCUGUGUUUAUAUCAAUGGCAAAAUACGCAAAUCAUUGACAAAAAAUAGGUUUUUUUAUAGGGUUCGCUGGAGCUAUUAGCUAGGAAUAUAUAUAUAUGCGAUGGUGCGGUAAAUGCAAAAAGACAAUACUAGCUUUGUGAGAGACGUAUUUACAUGUUUGCGACUUGACUGGUGUCCGUGGAUUUAUUUGCAACAAUUUUCCCAAAUUUCUAUCAUCUGAAUUCUGAAAUGAAAUAAAUAAUAAUGAAUUAUCAUAUAUAGUACUAGAAAUAUGCCUAUAUAUACUUAUAUAGUAGCCUAUACAAGCCCGAACUCCCCCGUCACAAAGCAUAUAAACGGCUCUUGCAGUAGUACAUCUCACUGUACGAUAACUGCCAGCAAAUACACAUCAGUCACCUGCCAAGCUGCAAAAUUUCGUUGCACAGCUAUCUCGUCUCUGACCAGAUGGUGAGCUCUCAGCCUCUCACGCUGUUCAGCUGUGUCCGUCAUCAGCGGCAUCGUCGCUGGAGGCAUGGAAGAGGUCGAGGCGGUUGUGGCUGAGCUGGUGUGCGUACAUGGCCUUCUUGUACUCUGCCCAUGUGAAGGGCCUGUACCGCCGCGGCGUGCCGGCGGCAACCGUCUCCGGGAGCGCCGCGAUCAGCGCGCGCAGCGGCGGCGCGGCGAAGUAGAUGGUGGACAGCCGUGGCCUGGUGGUGCUGGCCAUCACCCUGUGCCGGAUGCUCACCAGCCGCCCGUUCGUCAGAGCCUGUAUGUACGUCACCCAACAGUGCCCAAGAAAACAAUAAAGAUUCAGCUAAAAUUGUGUCAAUAAGAAUUGGCGAAAUGUGCUACACACACACACAAGUAUACAAACUGACCUGGAGGAGAUCGCCGACGUUGAUGAAGAACGCGGCCGGGUCAGCCGGCACCGGGACCCACUCGUCGCCGCCGCCGCAGCCGUCGGGCAGCAGCACCUGCAGGCCGUCGACGUCGUUGGCGCGGAGAACGCUGAGGAUCUGUGGGUCGGUGUGCUCGCCGAACCCGAUGCUGCCCUUCGUGCAGCUCCGGCCACCGGGACCCUGCAGGGCGGCGGCGGAAGUAGCAUAGUGGUUGAUCCGGAGGAGGGAGUCACUGUCGACGGCGGAGAUGAGCUGGCUGAGGGACGUCGGGUCCCUGAAGCCCAGGCCCUCGCCGAGCAGGUCCAGAACCCGGCACGCGAGACGCCGCACCGCGUCCACGUACUCGUUCACUGCUACGCUGCAGAGAUGGAGACUGAAAAAUCACCCCAAAUGUUUGGCGAAUUCAUGCUAAAAUUCAGAAGAAAUGUAGCAAAGAUUUGUUUCACUCCGAUCCAAAGCAGUGGCUGUGACAAUACCAGAUGAAACUAAGAGAAAAUAAACAAUGUAGAUAACCGAUCGGAGGGUUCAAGUACAAUGCAGAGAAGGGCAGAGGUAGUUUGAGGGGUAUUUGGAUCUUUAGUUCGGACUAAAAUUCAUGUCACAUCGGAGGCUAAUUAGGAGGACUAAACAUGAGCUAAUUAUAAAACUAAUUACACAGAUGGAGGCUAAUUUGCGAGACGAAUCUAUUAAGCCUAAUUAAUCCAUCAUUAGCACAUGUUUACUGUAGCAUCACAUUGUCAAAUCAUGGACUAAUUAGGUUUAAUAGAUUUAUCUCGCAAAUUAGCCUCCAUCUGUGCAAUUUAUUUUGUAAUUAGUCUAUAUUUAAUACUCUUACUUAUUAUCUAAAUAUUCGAUGUGAUAUGAAUUUUAGGAGCUCCUAAAGAAACAAACACCCCUUAGUUGUUACAAAUUUUGAGUGACAUUUUGGGCAAGGGCAGAAGUGGGCAAGGAGCCUUUGCCUCUUUUGGGGUAAUUGGGGUGUCAAUUGUGACUACUGCGGCAAAAGGCAGAUUGGGAAAAGAUUGAUUGAUGAAAGAAACCACAGCGACUGAAAAAAGGUGCAAACCAACUAGGACACAACUUCCCCAAAAUUAGGGUUAUAGGACAGCUAAUCAGUUGUACUAAUCCCCGAGCUAACAGCUGUAGGGAAAUAAAUGUUAUUAGACAAUAAACAAAAGUUGUCUGACAUGACAUGUUGAUUUCGUCAGUGUCAACAAAUGCUGAAGGCCAAAAUUAGGAACAUGUACAGUCAGGUGUGAAGCUAAAAUAAGGAACAUGAUGCUUGAUCUAUGCAACCAUGAACAAGCUUAGUGAGUGUUGGUACAGACUCGGUUACGUAUCUGCAACUGGUCACGUACGGCGACAGAAUUUCCAACGGGCCAAGCGAUUGACAUGAUCUGUCACGCUUUCUUCGGCAUCCAAUGGGCCGGGGGCUAAUAAGGCUGCAUGUGUGGUGAAAGACCCCCAUUUGGUACGGCUCCCUGGAUGCAUACGCAGCCCUUCCACACGCCAACAGCCAAGACCACGGUUCGUACGGUCUGGCUCCUUGUGGCAUGGUGCUCGAAAUGACCUUUCCGCUUUGCACCGUCCUUCCCGAUUCUGAUCUGAUGUAAAACGCAAUGGCAGGUGCACUUGUGGAGGAUUCCUAUUUGUACCAUUGUUUAUUCCUUUGGUGUUUCACCGUGUAAAGAUGAGAAUGCAUGAUCUUUCUGCCUUUUUUCCAUUUAUGGGAUUCUUCUCUUCCACCCAGGUAGCAUAGGAGAGCAAUCAUGCAUGUCUUCCACACUCCGAUGGAACAUUUUUUUUUCUUACCUGCCCAUCAUCUGUUUACUUGUGGAUAUUUUUUCAUAACUAGAACAUGGUUCCUCUGUUCUGUUUAGGGGCGGACCCAGGUAGGCUGAUGCAAGCUUAAUACAAGAUUAAGUAUUUUGCACCUCUAUUAUUUGUAUAUUUUUUCUUAGAUCUCCAUUGUUUUUUUCAGCCUUGGACCUGGGCUGCUGCCUGGUCCUAGAUCCGCCACUGGUUCUGUUUAUGGGUCACCCGACCCCUCCCCCUUCCUUAUCUUCCUUCUCCUCCUUAAUUGACGAUUAGAAUAAUUCUUGAUUCGUGGAAUAAUUUGUUACCUCAUGUUCCGUGGGUGGCGGGAUUGCUAAUCUAGUAAUCUUCACAUGAUAUUUGUUAGUGACUAAUGUCAGGCUAGCUCAGUGUUGUAUAAUAAGUUUUCGACAUUGUAAGAUAACCUUCAGUGUAUUGUGGUCUUAAUGCAUGCAUACAAGUGUCUUAGGAUUGUAUUUAAUUUGGCGUACAAGGCUAUAAUUGGUGGAAUUGUGAAAAAACUUCUAAAGACAUGUUCACAAAAGGCUUUGAAGGUGAUGCAAAAAACUUGAAGCCCAAAAUUCCGAGACAAACUCAACUUUGUCGCUGAUAAAUAAAAUUGAAAAAAAAAACACAAAAAAUAAGAAGCAUACUAAAUUUAAGGGCAACCUCAACAUCGUUGGUGAUAUAUAAAAUACACAAAGCAGCAAAAACACAAAGAAAUGCAGUAAACUCACCUUUUUUUUCCUUUUUCUUUGUUUUCUGCAAAUUUCACAUCUCACAAAUUAAGUUGAAUUUGGGCAUGAAAUUUAUAUGGUCACAGAUUAUAUUACUGCCCUUGUUUUUAUGAAAGAUUAUAUCACUGCCUUUAUGACUCUGAACUUUCUUUUGAAUUUUUUUUUCAAAAACUUAUGAACAUGCUUUUCGGAUGUUUUCAUGAUUUCACAAAAAGCCUUGGUUCAUCGAAUAUUUUACUACUUUCAAUGUAUGGCACAUGAAAAUGGCCCUCUACAUUGACAUUGCCUUGAAUAGGGAUUCGGUUUAUCCUGGUUGCUAUUAGGAAGCAUAUUUCUUCGCUGUCAACCUUUUGUUCCAUGGUGGGUUAAGCUGGACCUUGGGAAGUCUAAAUUCUACUAGACACAUUCAGAAGCACAAUACUGUUCUAGUAAAACUACAAUCACAAGCUUCUAAACCCCCAAUACUUCCCGCCCAGUGGACGUCGCAUCAGGUUAAUUAAUCCACUUGCUAGGAUCACAUGAAAACUCUGCUAAUAACAGACGUGCAUUAUUACCAUGGCACUGGUCUGAUCAUAUGCAUUUGUUAAUUACCUUGUACGCAAUUCAAUUUGACAAUAUUAUCGUAUGCAAUGCAAGAGACAUCAUUGCAAAUUUGCAACUCAAAGAGACCAAAUGAAGGCAGUGACAUGAUCAAGCAGCAUCAAUUGAUGAAACAUGCAAAUAAAGAGCCGAACAGAAGAAAGAAAAAGAAUAGAGAGGAGAGACGCAUGCAUGCAUAUAUAGCUGCAAAUAAAUGUACCUGAACCGCGACGGAUCCUCGGCGUCGAUGACCGUGGCCUUGCGCGCCACCGCGGCGGGGUCCGCGUGCAGGAUGAGGUACUCGAGCUCGCCGACGUCGCCGUUGCCCCCGAUGUUCCGGCUGCCGUACCCGAGCGGGUCCGGCGGCCCGGCUGCCUGCUUCGCCCGCGCGGGGCGCGCGAAGAACGCCGACGCCGCGGCGUCCAGCCGCGCGGCGGCGCGCGCCGGCACGCCGUGGUUGACGGCCUUGAAGAAGCCGCGCUCCGCGCAGGCCCGCACCAGCCGGCGCGCCAGGUCGCCGCGCCCCGACGGCGCCGACAUGUCCACCGUCGGGAUAAUGCCGAGCGGGAGCGACUCCGGCGCCAUGUCCCGGCUCGCCGCCGACGGCACGACCAUGGCGAGGGACCGAUAAUGGCAGUGAGGAUGCGGCCGGAGUGGUGCAGGUGCCACUGCAGUGGCGCGCGUAUAUAUGGGGAGUGCGCGCGUGGAGAGAUUCCGCUUGGAAUGCUGACAGUUUGUGCUGGUUUUGACCUGGUGUCUUGGCUCGAGCUUGGUUUUGUCACGGAUGAUGAUCAAACGAGGAAGCAGGUUGGAUGAUCCCUCCCUUUCGCCAGAUUGCAGGCUGUGAUCUAUUUUAUUCCCUGGACCUCUGCCGAUGCACUCAUGCACAGGCGUGGUGGGUAAAGGAGUGCAGAUCCUCUGUGGCUGUAAUGUUGAAGUACUAGAUACAGAGAGCUUUCUUUUCCCCCAGUGAAGAGUUAGGUUAGUCGCUACUGAUGUGAGUUAAGUUGUUCUUGUAACAACCCCAAAGUUAGAUAUCUAAUUUUUAGAGCCAAGGCUUGUACAUCAGAGCCCAAAACCAAGCAUAUACAGCUGAUCCGCUCAACAAGAAGCCGGGUUUCAUCAAUUCUCGCUAAGAUCAGUCUCAAUUAAUGGAAGUGUCACGGGAGUUUGGGCAUUUAAUCCCAAGCCACAUCAGCAAAACUGCUGACAUGACAGGCUAUUUAUGAGGAGAGAGGAGAGGGAAGUUUCAUCCCAUGAAAUCCACUUAGCACAGUUACCAAGUCUCAUGAAAUUCAAUGAAACUUACAUUGAGCAUGUUAUAGUUUCAUGGCAUGACAUAUUUGGUCAUAAGACAACGCAAAAAUUAAAUGAUUUAGGCUAUCUAUGAAACUGUGUGAUGAAACUAUGCACUGAGAGUGAUAGUUUUAUUUCAUUGAAAAGCUGGCAUGACACUCUUAGUAAUAGUAUGAUGAAACCAUGCACUGAGAUAAUAUACUUUGCAAUUACAAGUUUGUGAGUAAAUAUUAGAAAGUCUAGUAGAAAAUGGUGCAACAGCUUGUGCACACGUGUAUAUAUAGGAUGAUGUAGACCCAAUCACACCCAUCUUAAAAUGGGUAAAUAUUGGUGAUGAGCCCCAUGAAGAAAUAAGGCUGAGGCAAGUUUAUUCCCACUGAUAAUAUUGGAGAUAUGUUAUGCAAUUUUAUGGACUAGAGUUUAAGUUGAGUAUAUGUUAUGCAAUUUUAUGGACUAGAGUUUAAGUUCAGUGAUAGCUCAAUCUGCAUGUUUUUGUUCUGCUAUCGCUGUUGUUAUUUAUACCAUGUGUCCCCGUUUUAUGUUCAUAAACUAUCUCUUCUUCAAAAAAAAAUUUAGCUAGGUGAGUAUCAGUAUAUCACUAUUGCAAAGAACGAACCUCAUCCGUGCCGGC